GAGCCGUUAGCUCAGCUGGGAGAGCAUCUGCCUUACAAGCAGAGGGUCGGCGGUUCGAGCCCAGCACGGCUCA
rnacentral:tRNA from 1 species